CCCUCAUCUUACAGCGCUGUCUAGUGCCGAAGGCCGCCGCCCGGGCCUCUUCGCCACAGCCGGGAGACGUGGCGUAGGAGGGACGGGCCAUCUGCCCAAUGGGAGAGCGGGCUUUGAGGGAUGGCCUAUCGUAGCGUCUGGGGGGCGGGACUAGCAGCAGGUGGACUAGCGGAGGGGGCGGGGUGCUGUACUCGGGGAAGAGGUGGGACUGUCUAGCUCUCGGGACGUAGCCCCUCUAACUGGACACUGCUGGGGAAGGGGACUGGCGCAGACACGAUCAGGGAGACCCCCAGCUUCAGGGAGAGAAGCGACUUCACCUGAGGGGGAUGUGUGGCUACCAUGUCCCGCAGUCUUGGAGAGACACCAGCCUUGAGUCACUUUAGGAGAGGGGGUGACAGCAACAUAAUGAGGAGGUGGAACCCUCUAGUGGGAUGGAGAAAUGUGAGAAAAUCCCAAGAACAUCACCCCCCGCAACAUACACACAGCCAACUAGUCUAUAAGAAUCAGAAAUAAAAUGUCUGCUGCCAUCUGACAGAGGCAGUCAGCUGUCCAAAGAUGCAGAGAGCUUGUCUUCAGUGCUAGUAGUGGGACAAAUAGUUGGCCUAAAUUCUGCCCUGUAUAAAUAGCAGCUUGAAAGUCUUAAACCGUAUCUCCAACCCCAGAAAUGAUUGUGCAAACUGUGGUAGAAGUAACUUCUGCAUUCAAGCAAGACAGUCUGUCCAUCAGGCAGCCCCAGGAUAUGGCAGGACAGGAAGCAGCUGUGGUCCUGUAAAGAGCAACAUCUGGAGGGGAAGCCUGUGUGGGAAGAAGAGAGCUGGCUGGCUGCGAUUCUGCUCCUCCUGCCCUGGGUUGGGUUUUCCCUCUUGGCGCACAGCUGUGUGGGGAGAAGGAGAUUAGGGUGUGAGGCCCCAGAUCUCCUUCUCCUGGAAAGCUGCCCUCCCUCUCCUUGUGAUGGUAGUGUCUGCUUCCCUGACAGCCAGAGCUGGGACAUUGGGAGGGUGUAGCCCUUGGGUGACUGGGUGUGAACCCAGCUUCAUUUACCUAGGGUGUUGGCACAGAGCUCAGGAGAGAGCAGGUGGAGAGGAGAUAGGCUCAGAAACUGUCACACCUAGCCGGCCCUCAGAGCAGAGCCUUUUUGUUUUUCUCCAUGGUGGUUUACAAAAAUGUACUUAGUGUUUGGAGUCCAUGGUUGACUUUUAGAGCUGGGACAUCCUCAGAAAUCUCUUCUAACCCUUUAGUUUAGAGAUGAGGAAACCAAGAACCCAGGGAGGAUGGGACAUACCAGAGUCACCAGCUAAUUUGAAGCAGGAAGGGACUCAGAUCCAGGUCUCAUUCUCAGGACAGUGCUGUUUUAAAAGUUUUAAACUGCCUUGGUGUUACUUAGUCCAACAAAUUAAUAUUAGGUAAGCUUUUUUGUUGUUGUUCAGUGGGUGGGGCUGGAAUAAUAUGGAUUGUAUUGUGCUUUUUUAAGAUGGUACUUUAAUGCAGCAUGUGUUCUGAGUAGACCAGUCCUGAAAGGUGCUCAGGGUUCUGUGGUCCAGUACGUUUAGGAAUCAUUUUUCUUGAAACUUGACCAGGCUUUUUAGUUUGUUAAAGGCUCCAAGAAAUCCUACAAUAAAGAUAUUUGCUCAACUUUG